rnacentral:snoRNA from 1 species
GCUUUGCAGUAAUAAUUUCAUAAAUAAAUUCAUAUGUCAGACUUCAGAUAUUUUCAAAUAGUUGAGAAUAAAAAUUCUAUUACUUACCAGAAU